rnacentral:ncRNA from 1 species
ACUAGCGCAAAGUUAGUUUAUGGGGACACCACCCCGUACCUAGGAGAACUAGGAUUGGACUUCUUGAAGGAGAAAACAAAUG